GCCGAAGUAACUCAGUGGUAGAGUAGCUGUUUUGUAAACAGCAAGUCAAGGGUUCGAAUCCCUUCUUCGGCUCCA
rnacentral:tRNA from 1 species